CCGGCGCACGGGUGAGUAACACGUAUGCAAUCCACCUGUAACAGGGGAUAACCCGGAGAAAUCCGGACUAACACCCCAUAAUAUGGGCGCUCCGCAUGGAGAGUUCAUUAAAGAGAGCAAUUUUGGUUACAGACGAGCAUGCGCUCCAUUAGCCAGUUGGCGGGGUAACGGCCCACCAAGGCGACGAUGGAUAGGGGUUCUGAGAGGAAGGUCCCCCACAUUGGAACUGAGACACGGUCCAA
rnacentral:rRNA from 1 species